rnacentral:rRNA from 1 species
GAUGAACGCUGGCGGCGUGCCUACACAUGCAAGUCGAGCGAACCCUUCGGGGUGAGCGGCGGACGGGUGAGUAACGCGUGGGUAACCUGCCCUAUACACACGGAUAACGUACCGAAAGGUACGCUAAUACGGGAUAAAGUUGUUGGAUGGCAUCUUCUAACAAUCAAAGCUCCGGCGGUAUAGGAUGGACCCGCGUCUGAUUAGCUAGUUGGUGAGGUAAUGGCUCACCAAGGCGACGAUCAGUAGCCGACCUGAGAGGGUGAUCGGCCACACUGGAACUGAGACACGGUCCAGACUCCUACGGGAGGCAGCAGUGGGGAAUAUUGCACAAUGGGCGAAAGCCUGAUGCAGCAACGCCGCGUGAGCGAUGAAGGUCUUCGGAUCGUAAAGCUCUGUCCUCAAGGAAGAUAAUGACGGUACUUGAGGAGGUAGCCCCGGCUAACUACGUGCCAGCCGCCGCAGUAA